rnacentral:piRNA from 1 species
UGAACAAACUGGUCAAAAAUGCGUCUGA